rnacentral:rRNA from 1 species
GACGAACGCUGGCGGCGUGCUUAACACAUGCGAGUCGAACGGAAAGGCCCUGCUUUUGUGGGGUGCUCGAGUGGCGAACGGGUGAGUAACACGUGAGUAACCUGCCCUUGACUUUGGGAUAACUUCAGGAAACUGGGGCUAAUACCGGAUAGGAGCUCCUGCUGCAUGGUGGGGGUUGGAAAGUUUCGGCGGUUGGGGAUGGACUCGCGGCUUAUCAGCUUGUUGGUGGGGUAGUGGCUUACCAAGGCUUUGACGGGUAGCCGGCCUGAGAGGGUGACCGGCCACAUUGGGACUGAGAUACGGCCCAGAGUCCUACGGGGGGCAGCAGUGGGGAGUAUUGCACAAUGGGCGGGAGCCUGAUGCAGCAACGCCGCGUGCGGGAUGACGGCCUUCGGGUUGUAAACCGCUUUCGCCUGUGACGAAGCGUGAGUGACGGUAAUGGGUAAAGAAGCACCGGCUAACUACGUG